GUAGAAGGGUUUUUCAGUAAAUUACACAUAUUUGUGCCCACCAUAUAAAACCCUCAUCCUGGCCCAAUACACCCACCGUUGAAAGAAAGAUGCCAGGAGGUGGCCACCGCCCGGCCACACAUGUCGCCGGAAGCCGACCAUAGAUAAGGGAACUCCGUGGAAGUUCCACCAACUGUGUUGACGCGUCAACCCUAUCAAUCGAAAGCCUACAUCACCGUCAAGCUCAUGGCGACGAUCGUUUAUCUGGUUACAAGGCGGUGGUGGUUCAAUUGAGACCUCAGAUAGUCGGCGGCUAGGGUUCAUGACUCGAAGGUGAUGACGGAGAUGAUAUAGAUUAAGUUUCAGGCGAUCAAUCAUGUCAAACGAUGGUCGUUCAGAACAAAUGGACAGUCGGCGACGGUCAAAACAAGGGAACACAGGUGGUGGUGGUUUCACGGCGGUGAAGAUGAGUGGAAUCGGUGAUUUCGGUUGGCAGAUCUGGUAGCCGAGGGGCUGCUUGACCAAAAGGGAACACCUUCUUUCAAUCCUUACAGUCAUCGAUAUCAUUCUUCCUUUUAUUUACACUUCCGUUUUCAUCAGGAAUGGAAUGGUUGAGUGAAUACUGAAUACAUCUUAGAAGGUGCUGCAUGGGUUAAGUACUUAAGUGGCAACUACAUAAUGUUGAACCCAUCAUGAACCGAACCUGUCCUGACCCGGACCAAUAUGACCCUUUUUCAAAGCGCCCCAUCUUGACUCAUGAACCAACUCGACCCGCCUGUUUUGCCAGGUGUAAUUUAAGCUGUAUUUUCAUAGUAAAAAAAAAAAGUAAAGUCCUUUGUGGGCCACAAAAACUAUUAGAGAUGAAGAAAAUAGCCAGUUUUCUUUAUUAUACCAGAAGAAAGGCAGUCAAGUUGAAAGUAUAUUCUAUAAGUUUUUUUGAGGUUUAUAGAUUACAAAGUGUUGAGAACUAGACAGUUUAAGGUUGAGCAGAAUGGACAAACCAGAAUUAACCCGACAGAAAACAGACACGAGCUGGUCGCUGAGCAGUAUGCUGUUUCGGCUUGGCAAUCAAGCUUCCACUCUUCUCUAAGCUGGCGAAGGUGGUGGUGCCAAUGACAACUUAUUAUUCCGAGAAGUACAACCAAACCAGCAGCUUAUUUUUCCAAGAAGUACAACCAAACUAUGCAGCAAACGUCGGAGACAGGGUUCAAGAUUUAUUUGUAUCUUCUGUUGGUGCCGACCGAAAGGAUUGCUAAGGUGUUUAACCCCGUUGAGCCACAAGCUGAACCGGUUGUCUCCUCUAAGGGGUAGCUGUAGCACAUUAGCGAUGUAUUAUGUUGUGGUUUUAUUGUUGUGUAAAUGUAUGUUUUCCUCUAUUUUUCAUGUGAUAUCAUUUUUGUGUUUCAUCAUGAUAACAAGGCAAAAAUAAAAGGAUAUUGUAAAUUGCGCAA